rnacentral:rRNA from 1 species
AUUCCAGCUCCAAGAGCGUAUAUUAAAGUUGUUGCAGUUAAAAAGCUCGUAGUUGGAUUUCUGGUAUAAUGCGCCUGGCCCGCUCCGUUUCGGAGUGAGUGCCGGUGCGCGUUUGCCAUCCUUCUAGAAAAUGUUUCUACCCUUCGCUGGGCCGGAUUCACGAUCUAGAUCUUUUACUUUGAAAAAAUUAGAGUGUUUAAAGCAGGCUUUUGCUAUGAAUACAUUAGCAUGGAAUAAUAAUCUAGGACUUCGGUUCUAUUUUGUUGGUUUCUAGUACUGAAGUAAUGAUUGAUAGGGAUAGUUGGGGGUGCUAGUAUUGGGCGGCCAGAGGUGAAAUUCUUGGAUUCGCUCAAGACUAACUUAUGCGAAAGCAUUCACCAAGGAUGUCUUCAUUA